UUCACUACGGAAUAGUCCCGGGAAACUGGGUUUAAUACCGUAUACGCCCUUCGGGGGAAAGAAUUUCGGUGAGGGAUCGGCCCGCGUUAGAUUAGUUAGUUGGUGGGGUAAUGGCCUACCAAGACUACGAUCUAUAGCUGGUUUGAGAGGAUGAUCAGCAACACUGGGACUGAGACACGGCCCAGACUCCUACGGGAGGCAGCAGUGGGGAAUCUUAGACAAUGGGGGCAACCCUGAUCUAGCGAUGCCGCGUGAGUGAUGAAGGCCUUAGGGUCGUAAAGCUCUUUCGCCUGUGAUGAUAAUGACAGUAGCAGGUAAAGAAACCCCGGCUAACUCCGUGCCAGCAGCCGCGGUAAUACGGAGGGGGUUAGCGUUGUUCGGAAUUACUGGGCGUAAAGCGCACGUAGGCGGAUUAGUCAGUCAGAGGUGAAAUCCCAGGGCUCAACCCUGGAACUGCCUUUGAUACUGCUAGUCUUGAGUUCGAGAGAGGUAAGUGGAAUUCCGAGUGUAGAGGUGAAAUUCGUAGAUAUUCGGAGGAACACCAGUGGCGAAGGCGGCUUACUGGCUCGAUACUGACGCUGAGGUGCGAAAGUGUGGGGAGCGAACAGGAUUAGAUACCCUGGUAGUCCACACCGUAAACGAUGAAUGCCAGUCGUCGGGUAGCAUGCUAUUCGGUGACACACCUAACGGAUUAAGCAUUCCGCCUGGGGAGUACGGUCGCAAGAUUAAAACUCAAAGGAAUUGACGGAGGGCCCGCGCAAGCGGUGGGAUCAUGUGGGUUAAAUUCGAAGCAACGCGCCGAAACCUUGACAACCCCUUGACAUCCCUGAUCGGGGCAUUAUAAAACAUCUUUUUCUGUCAGAUUCGACUGGGG
rnacentral:rRNA from 1 species